UACGAAGGGGGCUAGCGUUGUUCGGAAUUACUGGGCGUAAAGCGCGCGCAGGUGGUCCUUCAAGUCAGGGGUGAAAGCCCAGAGCUCAACUCUGGAACGGCCUUUGAGACUAGAGGACUUGGGUACGGGAGAGGUGAGUGGAAUUCCGAGUGGAGAGGUGAAAGUCGUAGAUAUGCGGAAGAACACCAGUGGCGAAGGCGGCUCACUGGCCCGUUACCGACACUCAGGCGCGAUAGCGUGGGGAGCAAACAGG
rnacentral:rRNA from 1 species